UACGUAGGGUGCAAGCGUUGUCCGGAAUUAUUUGGGCGUAAAGAGCUCGUAGGCGGUCUGUCGCGUCUGCUGUGAAAACUCGGGGCUUAACCCCGGGCCUGCAGCUGGGGUACGGGCAGACUAGAGUGCGGUAGGGGAGAGCUGGAAUUCCUGGUGUAGCGGUGAAAUGCGCAGAUAUCAGGAGGAACACCGGUGGCGAAGGCGGGUCUCUGGGCCGUAACUGACGCUGAGGAGCGAAGCGUGGGGAGCGAACAGGA
rnacentral:rRNA from 1 species